GACGAACGCUGGCGGCGCGCCUAACACAUGCAAGUCGAACGGAGUUGUGUUGAAAGCUUGCUGGAUAUACAACUUAGUGGCGGACGGGUGAGUAACACGUGAGUAACCUGCCUCUCAGAGUGGAAUAACGCACCGAAAGGUGCACUAAUACCGCAUGAGACCACAGCUCUGCAUGGAGCAGUGGCUAAAGGAGAAAUCCGGUGAAGGGUGGGCUCGCGUCCGAUUAGCUAGUUGGCGGGGUAACGGCCCACCAAGGCGACGAUCAGUAGCCGGACUGAGAGGUUGAACGGCCACAUUGGGACUGAGACACGGCCCAG
rnacentral:rRNA from 1 species